rnacentral:RNase_P_RNA from 3 species
UCAGUCGGCCGGGCGGCCGCUCCGGCGAUCACCGAAAGGUGGCCGGGGAGGAAAGUCCGGGCUCCAUCGACAUACGGUGCCGGAUAACAUCCGGCGGGGGCGACCCCAGGGACAGUGCCACAGAGAACGAACCGCCACACACGUCCGCAAGGACGCGAGCGUGGUAAGGGUGAAAAGGUGCGGUAAGAGCGCACCGCGUAUCCGGCAACGGAGACGGCAUGGCAAACCACACCGGGAGCAAAACCGAAUAGGGACGGCAGCGCGGUAAGUUCGCGCAAGCGAUAACACCGCAGGGCCAUGUCGGGCUCGCCGUCCGGGUAGGUUGCUUGAGGCGACGUGCAAACGUCGUCCCAGAGGAAUGGCCGUCACGUAUCGCGGGCGCAAGCCGGCGAUGCCCUACAAAACCCGGCUUACAGGCUGGCUGAUAUC